rnacentral:rRNA from 1 species
GAUGAACGCUGGCGGCGUGCCUAAUACAUGCAAGUCGAGCGAAGCGGGGACGGGUGAGUAACACGUGGAUAACCUCCUCUACGACUGGGAUAACUUCGGGAAACCGGAGCUCAACUGGAUACUUAUCGAUGGAUCCGGGCUGCAUUAGCUAGUUGGUAAGGUAACGGCUUACCAAGGCAACGAUGCAUAGCCGACCUGAGCGUGUGAUCGGCCACACGUGAACUGAGACACGGCCCAGACUCCUACGUUCGGCAGCAGUAGGGAAUCUUCCGCAAUUGGCGAAAGCCUGACGGAGCAACGCCGCGUGAGUGAUGAAGGUCUUCGGAUCGUAAAACUCUGUUAUUAGGGAAGCGGUACCUAAUCAGAAAGCCACGGCUAACUACGUGCCAGCAGCCGCGGUAAUAC